UUUUAUAAGGAAGUAGAGAAAUAACGGUCGAAGAAACAUGUUUGAGGGAUUCCUCAGAGCUGUAAGACUUGUGACCAUGUUGAGGACUCCACACACUGGCUUCAGAUUGAACCCUUGACUUCCACUGUCCAGGGAGUGACAAUGUUCAGGCACAGGACACCCAAAGGGAGUUAUGAGUGCACAGUGUCUGGGCUCCGCUGGCUGUGUGAGAGAGAUGUCAUUCUGAAGUAUCACUUCAGGAACUGGGAACCCUACAGUCAACUUCUGAAAGACAUGCAGUACACACAAGGUGGUCCAGUUCUCAGCUAUCUCUGUUAUAUGGAAAUCACUGUCUCGUAAGAAAGAUGUCCACUGUGACGUGGUCCUCUACAUGGCAGUAAAAAGGUCAACAGUAAUUUCAAGGCUGUACCUGCUCCUCAGAAACUCCAGUCAGAAAGAGGCUGUUCGGGAACGGCAGAAAGAUCAGAUGUCCCAAGGAUAUUCUGAAUUUCUCCUGCCAAGUCCAAAUGGGCCCUUAAAGAUGAACACUUGGUUUGCACUCAAGAAUCCCCUCUCCACUUCCAUCUAUCCAGAGAAGAUUCAGCUGUUACCUGCAAACACCACACCAAGCUGUUGUAAGAUGAUAAUGGGAAACACAGGGGUGGAUAUUGAGAUGGAGUUAAUCGGGGAUGAUGAGAGGACAGUAUGGAAAUCAGUGGUAUCAAAAAAUGAAUACAGCAAAGACUCUCAUCCAACACCACCUAAUCUGAAGAUGCUGAGGCCUGUCUCCUAGUCUGUGGACAAAGACACUUCUCCACCUAAUCUGAAGAUGCUGAGGCCUGUCUCCUAGUCUGUGGACAAAGACCCUAAGUCAAACGGGGCAGCGGAUAUGAGGGUUUAAGUCAGACUGCUUAUAACUGCGCCACCUAUAGGCCAAUCGGCGCCAUUAUUUUUUUAAACCAAGUUACUCCAGUUUCUGUGUGCCAAAUUAGAAAAAGAGUAAUCAAUUUAUGCUCGAGGGAAAACAAUCCAAUAAUAACAAUAACAAUUUCUGCUAUUUUCACAACCAUAAUUAUGUGCCCAAUAGGUGGCGGUGGUGCUAAGGGGAUGAACACAUUAAUUGGAGGUGUGAGGAGGACUUGGCCAAUCAACUCAGUUCACUGGCCAAUCAACUCAGUUCACUGGCCAAUCAACUCAGUUCAUGGCUUAAUACUGUAUGCCGUUGUCUCACGUUCUGUAGUACUACAGUUUAUUAAAUAUAAUAGGCCAUAACACCAGUAAACAAAAACAUAUUGACAGUCAACAUUGUUGAAAUUUGCUUCAAUGAGUACAGGCCUAUAUGUCUUUAUGUAACAAGUUUAGUUGUGUUUCCACUUGACACUCCAGAAAUAUGUAUUGUUAAUUUUUAGGUAUUGCUAUUGGUUGGUUCAAGUCACAUGUCAAUAAGGUGUUAUGCCAUUGGUCAUGCUGUCAGACGGGGGAAGAUAGCGGAGGUAAAUGACUUCCCAGUCUGAUAUUGACAUGCCGACGAAUCUGCAGCCAUCAACGACAACAAGCCUGGUCAUCUGAUGUGCUUCCUGUCUGUGGAGAAUAAAAUACAGAUCAA